GCGUAAAGCGAGCGUAGGUGGCUUGAUAAGUCAGAUGUGAAAUCCCCGGGCUUAACCUGGGAACUGCAUCUGAUACUGUUAGGCUAGAAUAGGUGAGAGGAAGGUAGAAUUCCAGGUGUAGCGGUGAAAUGCGUAGAGAUCUGGAGGAAUACCGAUGGCGAAGGCAGCCUUCUGGCAUCAUAUUGACACUGAGGUUCGAAAGCGUGGGUAGCAAACAGGAUUAGAUACCCUGGUAGUCCACGCCGUAAACGAUGUCUACUAGUCGUUGGGUCCCUUGAGGACUUAGUGACGCAGCUAACGCAAUAAGUAGACCGCCUGGGGAGUACGGCCGCAAGGUUAAAACUCAAAUGAAUUGACGGGGGCCCGCACAAGCGGUGGAGCAUGUGGUUUAAUUCGAUGCAACGCGAAGAACCUUACCUGGUCUUGACAUAUCUAGAAUCCUGCAGAGAUGCGGGAGUGCCUUCGGGAAUUAGAAUACAGGUGCUGCAUGGCUGUCGUCAGCUCGUGUCGUGAGAUGUUGGGUUAAGUCCCGCAACGAGCGCAACCCUUGUCCUUAGUUACCAGCGGGUUAAGCCGGGAACUCUAAGGAUACUGCCAGUGACAAACUGGAGGAAGGCGGGGAUGACGUCAAGUCAUCAUGGCCCUUACGACCAGGGCUACACACGUGCUACAAUGGCAGGUACAGAGGGCAGCUACACAGCGAUGUGAUGCGAAUCUCAAAAAGCCUAUCGUAGUCCAGAUUGGAGUCUGCAACUCGACUCCAUGAAGUAGGAAU
rnacentral:rRNA from 1 species